CCUACGGGGUGCAGCAGUGGGGAAUAUUGGACAAUGGGGGAAACCCUGAUCCAGCGACGCCGCGUGAAGGAGGAAGGCUUUCGAGUUGUAAACUUCUUUGGGGAGGGACGAAGAUGACGGUACCUCCAGAACAAGCCACGGCUAACUACGUGCCAGCAGCCGCGGUAAUACGUAGGUGGCGAGCGUUAUCCGGAUUUACUGGGUGUAAAGGGCGCGCAGGCGGCCCUGGAAGUCAGAUGUGAAAGAUCAAGGCUUAACUUUGACAGGUCAUCUGAAACUUUGGGGCUUGAGUAUCAGAGGGGAAAGUGGAAUUCCUAGUGGAGCGGUAAAAUGCACAGAGAUUAGGAGGAACACCGGUGGCGAAGGCGACUUUCUGGCCAGCAACUGACGCUGAGGCGCGAAAGCCAGGGGAGCGAACGGGAUUAGAUACCCUAGUAGUC
rnacentral:rRNA from 1 species